rnacentral:rRNA from 1 species
UACGUAGGCGGCCUAUUAAGUCAGGUGUGAAAGCGUGAGGCUUAACCUCAUUAAGCACUUGAAACUGGAAGGCUUGAGUGAAGGAGAGGAAAGUGGAAUUCCUAGUGUAGCGGUGAAAUGCGUAGAUAUUAGGAGGAAUACCGGUGGCGAAGGCGACUUUCUGGACUUUUACUGACGCUCAGGUACGAAAGCGUGGGGAGCAAACA